rnacentral:rRNA from 1 species
GCCGGAAUCGCUAGUAAUCGCGGAUCAGCAUGCCGCGGUGAAUACGUUCCCGGGUCUUGUACACACCGCCCGUCACACCACGAGAGUUGGUAACACCCGAAGUCGGUGAGGUAACCUUUUGGAGCCAGCCGCCGAAGGUGGGACCAAUGAUUGGGGUGAAGUCGUAACAAGGUAGCCGUAUCGGAAGGUGCGGCUGGAUCACCUCCUUUCUAAGGA